rnacentral:rRNA from 1 species
GACGAACGCUGGCGGCGUGCUUAACACAUGCAAGUCGAACGGAGUGGCGAACGGGUGAGUAACACGUGGGUGACCUGCCCUGCACUUCGGGAUAAGCCUGGGAAACUGGGUCUAAUACCGGAUAGUGUGGGAUGGGCCCGCGGCCUAGCGGCUUGUUGGUGGGGUAAUGGCCUACCAAGGCGGCGACGGGUAGCCGGCCUGAGAGGGGGGACGGACACAUUGGGACGGGGACACGGCCCAGAAUACAACGGGAGGCAGCAGGGGUGAAUAUUGCACAAUGGGCGGAAGCCUGAGGAAGCGCCGCUGCGUGGGGGAUGACGUCCUUCUGGUUGGAAACUCCUUUCACCAUAGACGCGGUAGAUGGAGAAGAAGCACCGGCUAACUACGUGCCAGCAGCCGCGGUAAUUC